rnacentral:rRNA from 1 species
AUUGAACGCUGGCGGAAUGCUUUACACAUGCAAGUCGAACGGCAGCACGGACUUCGGUCUGGUGGCGAGUGGCGAACGGGUGAGUAAUACAUCGGAACGUGCCCAGUCGUGGGGGAUAACGUAGCGAAAGCUACGCUAAUACCGCAUACGAUCUACGGAUGAAAGCGGGGGAUCGCAAGACCUCGCGCGAUUGGAGCGGCCGAUGGCAGAUUAGGUAGUUGGUGGGGUAAAGGCUCACCAAGCCGACGAUCUCUAGCUAGUUUGAGAGGACGACCAGCCACACUGGGACUGAGACACGGCCCAGACUCCUACGGGAGGCAGCAGUGGUGAAUUUUGGACAAUGGGCGCAAGCCUGAUCCAGCCAUUCCGCGUGCAGGAUGAAGGCCCUCGGGUUGUAACCUGCUUUUGUACGGAACGAAAAGUCUCUGGUUAAUACCCGGGGCUCAUGACGGUACCGUAAGAAUAAGCACCGGCUAACUACGUGCCAGCCGCCGCGGUAA